GCCUUCAUAGUGUAGUGGUCAGAACGCUCGGGUUUUAUUUCGAGAGGUCCGUGGUUCGAGUCCCGGCGAGGGCA
rnacentral:tRNA from 1 species